UAGGGAAUCUUCGGCAAUGGGGGGAACCCUGACCGAGCAACGCCGCGUGAGUGAAGAAGGUUUUCGGAUCGUAAAGCUCUGUUGUUAAGGAAGAACGAGUGUGAGAAUGGAAAGUUCAUGCUGUGACGGUACUUAACCAGAAAGGGACGGCUAACUACGUGCCAGCAGCCGCGGUAAUACGUAGGUCCCGAGCGUUGUCCGGAUUUAUUGGGCGUAAAGCGAGCGCAGGCGGUUAGAAAAGUCUGAAGUGAAAGGCAGUGGCUCAACCAUUGUAGGCUUUGGAAACUGUUUAACUUGAGUGCAGAAGGGGAGAGUGGAAUUCCAGGUGUAGCGGUGAAAUGCGUAGAUAUAUGGGGGAACACCGGUGGCGAAAGCGGCUCUCUGGUCUGUAACUGACGCUGAGGCUCGAAAGCGUGGGGAGCGAACAGG
rnacentral:rRNA from 1 species